rnacentral:rRNA from 1 species
GACGAACGCUGGCGGCGUGCUUAACACAUGCAAGUCGAACGGAAAGGCCCUGCUUUUGUGGGGUGCUCGAGGGGCGAACGGGUGAGUAACACGUGAGUAACCUGCCCUUGACUUUGGGAUAACUUCAGGAAACUGGGGCUAAUACCGGAGAGGAGCUCCUGCUGCAUGGGGGGGGUUGGAAAGUUUCGGCGGUUGGGGAUGGACUCGCGGCUUAUCAGCUUGUUGGUGGGGUAGUGGCUUACCAAGGCUUUGACGGGUAGCCGGCCUGGGAGGGUGACCGGCCACCUUGCGCCUGAGAUACGGCCCAGACUCCUACGGGAGGCAGCAGUGGGGAAUAUUGCACAAUGGGCGGAAGCCUGAUGCAGCAACGCCGCGUGCGGGAUGACGGCCUUCGGGUUGUAAACCGCUUUCGCCUGUGACGAAGCGUGAGUGACGGUAAUGGGUGAAGAAGCACCGGCUAACUACGUG